UCCAGUCCUUGUUUUGGUUCUCCCUGUUCAUAUGUUCUACUGUGUCUGAUUAGUGCUUUAUUGUUUUGGUUAUUGAAGCCCUGUAUUUGGUUUCCCAUGUUUUGGUUAUUUUGGUGGUGGAACGUAAACUCUGCAUUGAGAACAGUCCUCCAUGAUGGAAAUUUUAUCAGCAGAUCUUUUAAGGUUUGACCUUUUCAACACCAUCUGGAGUCUUUUUUUAAAAAUAGUAGAUAGUGUCCUGUUUGUAUUAAAUAGCUGGGCCAUCGCUGAAGACAUGGAGGCAGUUGAUCAAAGGGUAUCUCUCCCUCACCAUGUCUACUCCAUCUCAGAUAACUGGGGGAUCAUAUCAGCUGGGAGGGGAGAUGGAGCAGAUCGUUGCUGGUGACUAUUCAGCUGCAGUGUACAGCACUUCAGUAUGUAGGGUAUCUUGAUGGAGUGACUUUCUGAAAUGGACUGAUUGAAUUUAAAAAGAAUACUUACAGUAGUUCUCUCUGACAUCUACAUGUACUGGACACUUGUGUUCCUCAAGUUUCUGUAUGCCCUGUACUGGCAUUGGAUAUUAAAUAUGUGCCAGCUAUAUAUGAACAGCCUUUCAUAGAAUUCACUUGCAAGUGUAUCCUCUCUUGUCAUCACAUUUUCCUUCACAACGAUUGCUGACCUUUUCCCAUAAUCCUUCUCUGUCAUUCCCUUUGGCAUUGUCUUCCAGAGACCACUAGAUAAGGUCUGUUUUUGUGUUCCCAGUAGGUCUUAGCAUUGUAUAUGUUGAAUAAACACAAUCUUUACAUUUACCACA